GACAGAGGGUGCAAACGUUGCUCGGAAUUACUGGGCGUAAAGCGCGUGUAGGCGGUUUCGCAAGUCAGGUGUGAAAGCCCGGGGCUCAACCCCGGAAGUGCACUUGAUACUACGGAGCUUGAGUACUGAAGAGGAGAGCGGAAUUCCCGGUGUAGAGGUGAAAUUCGUAGAUAUCGGGAGGAACACCAGUGGCGAAGGCGGCUCUCUGGGCAGAUACUGACGCUGAGACGCGAAAGCGUGGGUAGCAAACAG
rnacentral:rRNA from 1 species